rnacentral:snRNA from 1 species
ACGGGUGAGUAAACCCGU